rnacentral:rRNA from 1 species
AUUGAACGCUGGCGGCAUGCUUUACACAUGCAAGUCGAACGGCAGCGCGGGCUUCGGCCUGGCGGCGAGUGGCGAACGGGUGAGUAAUGCAUCGGAACGUGCCCAGUAGUGGGGGAUAGCCCGGCGAAAGCCGGAUUAAUACCGCAUACGACCUGAGGGUGAAAGCGGGGGACCGAAAGGCCUCGCGCUAUUGGAGCGGCCGAUGUCGGAUUAGCUAGUUGGUGGGGUAAAGGCUUACCAAGGCGACGAUCCGUAGCUGGUCUGAGAGGACGACCAGCCACACUGGGACUGAGACACGGCCCAGACUCCUACGGGAGGCAGCAGUGGGGAAUUUUGGACAAUGGGGGCAACCCUGAUCCAGCCAUGCCGCGUGCGGGAAAAAGGCCUUCGGGUUGUAAACCGCUUUUGUUCGGGAAGAAAUCCUCUGGGCUAAUACCCCGGGGGGAUGACGGUACCGGAAGAAUAAGCACCGGCUAACUACGUG